CGGAUAUAGCUCAGUUGGUUAGAGCGCUGGAUUGUGGCUCCGGAGGCCGUGGGUUCGAGUCCCAUUAUUC
rnacentral:tRNA from 1 species